rnacentral:rRNA from 1 species
UACAGAGGGUGCAAGCGUUAAUCGGAAUGACUGGGCGUAAAGCGUGUGUAGGUGGUUGGAUAAGUUAGAUGUGAAAUCCCUGGGCUUAACCUGGGCACUGCGUUUAAGACUGUCUGGCUAGAGUACUGUAGAGGAUAGUGGAAUUUCCAGUGUAGCGGUGAAAUGCGUAGAUAUUGGAAGGAACACCAGUGGCGAAGGCGACUAUCUGGAUAGAUACUGACACUGAGACACGAAAGCGUGGGGAGCAAACAGG